AAAUGUUACUCAGCGCAUCACACGGAUGCCUUGACUCUCAAAUCCGAUGAAGGACGUGGCCAGCUGCGAAAAGCUUCGGUCAGCCGCUAGGCAGGCGCUACCAGCCGAAGAUAUCCGAAUGGGGAAACCCCAUAGACUUAAUAGUUUAUGACUUAAUUUAUUUUAAGAGGAAGACUCUGUGAACUGAAACAUCUAAGUAACAGGGGAAAAGAAAUCAAACGAGAUUCCCGUAGUAGUGGCGAGCGAACCGGGAACAGCCCAAACCCUCUAUUUAUAGAGGGGGUUGUAGGACCUCAAUAUCCGACUGCACGAAUCUAGACAAACGUUCUGGAAAGGACGGCCAUAGUGGGUGACAGCCCCGUAGUCGAAAGGUAAGUGCACGGUAGAGGUUUCCUGAGUAAGGUCGGACACGUGAAAUCCGGCCCGAAUCUGGGAGGACCACCUUCCAAGGCUAAACAGUUUGAGAGAUCAAUAGCGAAUAGUACCGUGAGGGAAAGGUGAAAAGCACCCCGAAAGGGGGAUGAAAUAGUUUCUGAAAUGUGAUGCGUUCAAGGAGUCGGAGCCCCCUUAAGGGGUCACGGCGUUCCUUUUGCCUAAUGAACCAACGACUUCGUUGUCAGUGGCAUGGCUAAGACAGUUUUAGUCGCAGCCGUAGCGAAAGCGAGUCCGAAUAGGGCGAAUUAGUCGCUGGCACGAGACCCGAAACCGGGUGAGCUAUCCAUGAGCAGGGCGAAGGUUGACGAAAGUCAACUGGAGGCCCGAACCAUAAUGUAUCGCAAGACAUUGGGAUGACUUGUGGAUUGGAGUGAAAAGCUUAUCGAACCCGGAGAUAGCUGGUUCUCCUCGAAAUGUUUUUUGGAACAGCCUCAUAGUAUACGAUGGGGGGUAGAGCUACUGUUUCGACAAGGGGGUCUUCUAGGCCUACCAAGUCCUGACAAACUCCGAAUACCCAUCUUUAGAGCUAUGGGAGUGAGACGGUGACAGCGAAGUGCCAUCGUCGAGAGGGCAACAGCCCAGAUCGUUUGUUAAGGUCCCAAAUAUCAGUUAAGUAUAUCAAAGGAAGUGUUUUCGCAUAGACAACCAGGAGGUUUGCUUAGAAGCAGCCAUCCUUUAAAGAAAGCGUAACAGCUCACUGGUCGAUCGCGAAAGCGCGCCGAAAAUUCACGGGAUUUAAACUGAUAACCGAAACAGCGAAUGUCAGGAAGAUGCGUCUUCCUGGUGUAGUAGAGGAGCGUUCUGUACAGCGGUGAAGCUCUGUUGUAAGGCAGGGUGGAGCGUACAGAAGUGAGAAUGUUGGUAUGAGUAACCACAAGACAGGUGAAAACCCUGUCCGCCGAAUUUCCAAGGUUUCCCACGCAACGUCGAUCGGCGUGGGGUUAGUCGGUCCUAAGGUGAGGCUGAAAAGCGUAGCCGAUGGACAGCAGUUUAAUAUUACUGCACCUCGUAUGGAUCGCCCAAACAAAGAGAUUAAGAGCUUUUUUGGCCUCUGGUCUGCACCACAUUGAGCUUACAAAUCCGAAGAUCAAAAUACUAAAUCCGAGACAAGUUCGAAUUUGAAAAUUAGAAUUUCGAAACUGUUUAGAAUUUGGUUCUUAGUUCUUCGCAUUUUCCCAAGUUCAGCGUGGUGUAGAUCAUGUCACGAGAGAAGUAGAUCUCGGCGUUAGGAGCGGCAUGACGGAGACGGAUGACCAGAACGUACGCAUUGACUGUACGUAGAAGGCACGAAGCGUUGAGAGUGGUAGGUAAAUCCGCCACUUGAGCAAAGUGCAUAUCAAUCGCCCCUUUAUUGGGGAAGAGUCUGGCUCAUUCGGCUUUCAAGAAAAUCGUCGCUUCCAGACACAUAUGAGACCGUACCGCAAACCAACACUGGUGGAAUGGUCGAGUAGACCAAGGCGAUCGGGACAACUUGCGUUAAGGAACUCUGCAAAAAAGCGUCCGUAACUUCGGGAUAAGGACUGCCCUAGGUUCAUUCCUAGGGCCGCAGCGAAAGAGGCCAGGCGACUGUUUACCAAAAACACAGGUCCCUGCUAAGCCGUAAGGCGAUGUAUAGGGGCUGAUGCCUGCCCAGUGUCAGAAGGUCACGUGAGGAGGUGUAUGCUUCCGAUCUAAGCCCUGAUGAACGGCGGCCGUAACUAUAACGGUCCUAAGGUAGCGAAAUUCCUUGUCGGGUGGUCAAAUUACUUGCCCGAAUGAUCUGCAAAGAUCAGCACUGAGGAAGUUUCGUAAAAAGUUUUAUACAUCAAGUAGGUAAGCAGUUAAUUAUUCUUUCGUAGAUGACAACUGUCAUCUAUAGAGUUCAAAAUAUGAAUACGGGUAAAAAGAGACAGAAGAAGACAACGUGUACCAAAACCCGCCUUCGCUCUCUAAGAGCUACGGUGGGCAAGCAGUGAGAAACGUCGCUAUAUGCUGGAAAAUCCCAUGUAUCCUCUACGCCGAAAGGUACGAGGUGGGGACAAUCAGCAGGAAACCCGGCUUUGUCUAACGACUACGCCGAGGGCUCCUCAGAGACUACACGCGACACUCCUUAGAAAUAAGGAUGAUGAUAUAGUCCGAUCCCUGCAGCGAUGUAGGGUGCCGAGAAUCGUAUCGGCAGCUAAAAAACAAUAUACGAGAAAGAACCGAGAACGAUAGAACUGAGAACGUAGAAUUCUACGUUCUACAUUCCACGUUCAAUAUUCUUUUCUGGUUGUGCGCUCAAGGUUUCCUUGAGUACCAGACUCACCAUCUGGUGGAACCAACAUUCGAAGUUCCGACCCGCACGAAUGGUACCACGGUCUGGUCAC
rnacentral:rRNA from 1 species